UUCCUACGGGAGGCAGCAGUGGGGAAUAUUGCACAAUGGGCGCAAGCCUGAUGCAGCGACGCCGCGUGAGGGAUGACGGCCUUCGGGUUGUAAACCUCUUUCAGUAGGGAAGAAGCGAAAGUGACGGUACCUGCAGAAGAAGCACCGGCUAACUACGUGCCAGCAGCCGCGGUAAUACGUAGGGUGCGAGCGUUAUCCGGAAUUAUUGGGCGUAAAGAGCUCGUAGGCGGUUUGUCGCGUCUGUCGUGAAAGUCCGGGGCUUAACCCCGGAUCUGCGGUGGGUACGGGCAGACUAGAGUGCAGUAGGGGAGACUGGAAUUCCUGGUGUAGCGGUGGAAUGCGCAGAUAUCAGGAGGAAUACCGAUGGCGAAGGCAGGUCUCUGGGCUGUAACUGACGCUGAGGAGCGAAAGCAUGGGGAGCGAACAGGAUUAGAUACCCUGGUAGUCCAUGCCGUAAACGUUGGGCACUAGGUGUGGGGACCAUUCCACGGUUUCCGCGCCGCAGCUAACGCAUUAAGUGCCCCGCCUGGGGAGUACGGCCGCAAGGCUAAAACUCAAAGGAAUUGACGGGGGCCCGCACAAGCGGCGGAGCAUGCGGAUUAAUUCGAUGCAACGCGAAGAACCUUACCAAGGCUUGACAUGUUCUCGAUCGCCGUAGAGAUACGGUUUCCCCUUUGGGGCGGGUUCACAGGUGGUGCAUGGUUGUCGUCAGCUC
rnacentral:rRNA from 1 species